rnacentral:rRNA from 1 species
GACGAACGCUGGCGGCGUGCUUAACACAUGCAAGUCGAACGGAAAGGCCCUGCUUUUGUGGGGUGCUCGAGUGGCGAACGGGUGAGUAACACGUGAGUAACCUGCCCUUGACUUUGGGAUAACUUCAGGAAACUGGGGCUAAUACCGGAUAGGAGCUCCUGCUGCAUGGUGGGGGUUGGAAAGUUUCGGCGGUUGGGGAUGGACUCGCGGCUUAUCAGCUUGUUGGUGGGGUAGUGGCUUACCAAGGCUUUGACGGGUAGCCGGCCUGAGAGGGUGACCGGCCACAUUGGGACUGAGAUACGGCCCAGACUCCUACGGGAGGCAGCAGUGGGGAAUAUUGCACAAUGGGCGGAAGCAUGAUGCAGCAACGCCGCGUGCGGGAUGACGGCCUUCGGGUUGUAAACCGCGUUCGCCUGUGACGAAGCGUGAGUGACGGUAAUGGGUAAAGAAGCACCGGCUAACUACGU